rnacentral:rRNA from 1 species
AGUAAGGGCGACUGAAAGGGGAUGAGCCCAGCGCAUAACCUUGCGGUCCGGUGUUGSCCGUCGAGGGGUGUUGCGUAUCGGUUGAUCCGUCCCAGCUGGCUACCCACUGCCUAAGUGAUUGCUUGAAAGCAUCCCCAUGGAGGGUGGAAGGCCCGUGUGGCAGUGCCCGAGAGGGUUUAGGUGGCUUGUUGGAGGGAUUUUAACCGUUGAGUCGGGUUGCUUAGUACUGCAGCCCUAAGAUAGGUGGUAAACUCCAUCUAAGGCUAAAUACUACCACGAGACUGAUAGAUGACAAGUACCGUGAGGGAAAGCUGAAAAGAACUUUGAAGAGAGAGUUCAAAAGGACGUGAAACCACUGGGAGGUAAACGGGUGGACCUGACAAGGUCGAAGGGCGGGAUUCCGCUCGUCGGUGGCCAGCCUUUGGGGAGUUGCAGAGGACGCGUCCUUUAUAAGCGGUCGCGCUGCUCCUCCUUGUGGUGUGGCAUGCCGGCGGGCUUACUUCCUGCUGAGUAGCAAUGCCGUGUCGCGUUGGUUUGACCCCAGGGGCUGUGUCGGAUUGGUAACCUGGACUAGGGUGCCAGGUGAAGACCGGCUGCAGUUGUGAUGGGUCUAGCCGAUGCUUUAUGCAGGGAGCCUGCUUAGGCAGGCUCUCGCGGCAUCUAAUGUCGGUCAUCCACCUGACCCGUCUUGAAAGAAGCACGGACCAAGGAGUCUAACAUGUGCGCGAGUCUAAGGGUUUUAAGAACCUGGAGGCGAAAUGAAAGUGAGCUGGCAGAGCAGGCCGAUCCCCGGCCGGUGACUGAGGCGGAUGGUCGGGCAGUGACUCGCGUGCGGCCACUGUUCCGGACGCCGUCGUGGUACCGGUGCUCCUCCGUGAGGGGGAGAUGCUAGAGUGCAGGGGCGCAGGCCAAGGACUUGCCUUAGGGUGAUGUUGGAGGGCUUGCGGCACGCUUCCUAAGGCCCUCUGACUUUGGCCGGCAAGUACCUGAGAGCGCACUGGUUGGGACCCGAAAGAUGGUGAACUAUGCCUGGCGAGGACGAAGCCAGAGGAAACUCUGGUGGAGGUCCGAAGCAGUUCUGACGUGCAAAUCGAUUGUCAGAGCUGGGUAUAGGGGCGAAAGACUAAUCGAACCAUCUAGUAGCUGGUUCCCUCCGAAGUUUCCCUCAGGAUAGCUGGCAUUCGGAGGUUAAGUUUCAUCUGGUAAAGCCAAUGAUUAGAGGUCUUGGGGGUGCAAUGCCCUCAACCUAUUCUCAAACUUUAAAUGGGUGAGAUGUAGAGCUUGCUUAAUUAGUGAAGCUGUAUUGAUGAGAAUUAGAAUGCUUAGUGGGCCACUUUUGGUAAGCAGAACUGGCGCUGUGGGAUGAACCAAACGUACGAGUUAAGGGGCCUAAAUGAAUGCUAAUUUUGACACUCUGAAAAGGUGUUGGUUGCUAUAGACAGCAGGGCGGUGGCCAUGGAAGUUGGAAUCCGCUAAGGAGUGGUGUAACAACUCACCUGCCGAAGCAACUAGCCCUUAAAAUGGUAUGGCGCUGAAGCAUUCUCCCGAUACUCGGCCGCCGGGGCAUUAGAUGGCCAUUAAGUUGGUGUUUUAGCCCUGGUGAGUAGGAGGGUCGCAGCGGUGUGCGUCGAAGGGAUCCGGUGUAGGCCGGCCUGGAGCCGCCGCUGGCGCAGAUCUUGGUGGUAGUAGCAAAUAAUCAAGAGAGAACCUCGUUGACUGAUGUGGGGAAGGGUUCCAUGUCAACAUCAGUUGAACAUGGGUGAGUCAGGCCUAWGCCCAAGGACAGAUGUCCUGCAUGCCACGUGUUCC